rnacentral:rRNA from 1 species
ACGAACGCUGGCGGCGUGCUUAACACAUGCCAGUCGCACGGAAAGGCCCUGCUUUUGUGGGGUGCUCGAGUGGCGAACGGGUGAGUAACACGUGAGUAACCUGCCCUUGACUUUGGGAUAACUUCAGGAAACUGGGGCUAAUACCGGAUAGGAGCUCCUGCUGCAUGGUGGGGGUUGGAAAGUUUCGGCGGUUGGGGAUGGACUCGCGGCUUAUCAGCUUGUUGGUGGGGUAGUGGCUUACCAAGGCUUUGACAGGUAGCCGGCCUGAGAGGGUGACCGGCCACAUUGGGACUGAGAUACGGCCCAGACUCCUACGGGAGGCAGCAGUGGGGAAUAUUGCACAAUGGGCGGAAGCCUGAUGCAGCAACGCCGCGUGCGGGAUGACGGCCUUCGGGUUGUAAACCGCUUUCGCCUGUGACGAAGCGUGAGUGACGGUAAUGGGUAAAGAAGCACCGGCUAACUACGUG